rnacentral:misc_RNA from 1 species
AAGUCGUAACAAGGUCUCCGUAGGUGAACCUGCGGAGGGAUCAUUACCAGAAGCCGCGUCGGCGGAAACGCCGGCGCCUUCGCCCAACCCUUUGUGAACCGUACUUGAAUGCCCCGGGGGACCCCGCCGUCACACGCGCGGCCCCCGGCGGCCCUCUUCAACUCUUGUUGUCUCUGUCGUCUGAGUCUUAAAGAAUUUAAACAAAACUUUCAACAACGGAUCUCUUGGUUCUG